AGGACGAACGCUGGCGGCGUGCCUAACACACGCAAGUCGAGCGAGGAGAUUCCCUCGGGGAUGAACCUAGCGGCGGACGGGUGAGUAACACGUGGGCAACCUGCCUUAUAGAGGGGAAUAGCCUUCCGAAAGGAAGAUUAAUACCGCAUAACAUUACAUUUUCGCAUGAAGAAGUAAUUAAAGGAGUAAUCCGCUAUAAGAUGGGCCCGCGGCGCAUUAGCUAGUUGGUGAGGUAACGGCUCACCAAGGCGACGAUGCGUAGCCGACCUGAGAGGGUGAUCGGCCACAUUGGGACUGAGACACGGCCCAGACUCCUACGGGAGGCAGCAGUGGGGAAUAUUGCACAAUGGGGGAAACCCUGAUGCAAGCAACGCCGCGUGAGUGAUGAAGGUCUUCGGAUCGUAAAGCUCUGUCUUCAGGGACGAUAAUGACGGUACCUGAGGAGGAAGCCACGGCUAACUACGUGCCAGCCGCUGC
rnacentral:rRNA from 1 species